rnacentral:rRNA from 1 species
AUUGAACGCUGGCGGCAGGCCUAACACAUGCAAGUCGAGCGAGCGGCGGACGGGUGAGUAAUGUCUGGGAAACUGCCUGAUGGAGGGGGAUAACUACUGGAAACGGUAGCUAAUACCGCAUACCAUCAGAUGUGCCCAGAUGGGAUUAGCUAGUAGGUGGGGUAACGGCUCACCAAGGCGACGAUCCCUAGCUGGUCUGAGAGGAUGAUCAGCCACACUGGAACUGAGACACGGUCCAGACGCCUACGGGAGGCAGCAGUGGGGAAUAUUGCACAAUGGGGGAAACCCUGAUACAGCCAUGCCGCGUGUGUGAAGAAGGCCUUCGGGUUGUAAAGCACUUUCAGCGAGGAGGCGUUACUCGCAGAAGAAGCACCGGCUAACUCCGUGCCAGCAGCCGCGGUAAUAC